ensembl:snRNA U1 U1 spliceosomal RNA
UUACUCACCUGGCAGGAGAGAAACCAUGAUCAUGGAGAUGGUUUCACAGACUGAGACUUACCCGCUGCUCUCAGAUGGCCUGACGCCUUUGAUUCCUCCGAACGCAGGAAACUCAACUGUCUAAUUGUGGUAGUGUGGACUUGGUUCUCACGCUCCCUG